rnacentral:snRNA from 1 species
GGGUGUGAGGGCAAUCUGGCUGCGGCAUCUGUCACCCCAUGGAUCGCCAGGGUUGAUUAAGCUGAUCUAGCUGUCUGGGUGGAUGUCCCCUUCCUCCCUCAAGGCUCUGUGCGUGUCCCUCCCGAAGCUGCAUACUCAUUCGAAGAGGACGACCACCCCUGAUAGAGAAGGGCCGUUCCUCUGUCAAGGGUAUAGUAGUAGCUACGCUCCCCUCCUAGAACCUGCAAACAAGAACUGGAAAAGCUGGGGUUGUUCCUGUAGGAGUGAUAGAGGGAAGCCAUCACAAUGCAUAAAACCACUUGAGAGAAGGU